CGACAAAGUGCAGGUGGAGGUUUUGGGCGGCUGCUCCAGGAUGGAUUCACGUCGCAGGUCGUUGGCUGCACGCCUUUAACCGUGGAGAAGGCCCCGACAUCGUCGAUGUUCUUGGCAUAAACUGUCUUGGAGUCUGGCACGAAUGGCGGCGUAAGAAUACCUGAGGAGACACAAGAGGGCGCAGACGUCAAGACACAAACAGACAAGCCUACAAGAUGGACAAUUAUCCCAUGCACCCAAUGACAGAGACACAUGAAUGUAUCAGCAUCUGAAGGUUGUAG